rnacentral:rRNA from 1 species
AUGGAGGUUGCCAUUAAAAAUGUGAUGCCUCAAACGGCACACCGAUGGUGCAAGUGGCAUGUGCUGAAGAAGGCGAAGGAAUCACUCGGCUUGUUGUACACCAAGAAGAGCGAGUUCAGGGCAGAGUUCCACAAGGUAGUAAAUCACAUGCUUACAAUCGAUGAAUUCGAGGAAGGUUGGAGGAUAUUGGUGGAGAAAUAUAACCUGAAGACACACGACUACAUGAUACAACUGUAUGACAUAAGACACAAGUGGGCGAAGCCAUAUUUUAAAGGUGUUUUCUGUGCUAAGAUGACCAGCACCCAGCGUAGCGAAAGUGCGAAUCACAUGCUGAAGAACUAUGUCCUGCCUGGUUGUCCAAUGCAUUUGUUUGUGAAGAAAUACAUGAGGCUUCAGUUUGACAGGGAAGCUGAGGAGAACUACGAGGAGAAGCGGACACGAAUAAAAGCAAACUUAGCUAUUGAGAGACAUGCUGGCAAGAUAUACACACGAGCUAUGUUU